rnacentral:lncRNA from 1 species
UCCCCAUUGAAUUCUUUCUGCAGCACUAUGCUGCUGUUUAAUUCAAUAAUUAUUUACUUAAUUUAAUAUCUCCAAGCCUCAGACAGGCCCCUGGUCUGUUUUGUUGGAAUCUGCUUGGCCCAGCAUAUGCAGGCUACUCCGUGAACAUCUGCCCUGAAUGGAUGCAACCUGCAGUGCUCAUGAUCCACAGACCUUUCUAAGUCAGAGGGGUACCUUCUGUGCAACCAAAAGUAACGGUCUCGUUUUGAAGACAUUGAUUCGACUUUCGCCGCGACUCCAGCAGAGCUGUGAUCCAGAGGAAGUCUGACCUCUGUCGCAGACGCCCGGCGGCUGGAGACGUCCUGUCCCUGGACCGCCCGGGGCGCAGGCGGUAGGUGGGUGGGGACCUCCAAGGCCGCAGCUCGCUGCUGCGCCGCAGGGGCCGCGAAGGGGUUAACCCGGCG